rnacentral:tRNA from 1 species
GCCCCCAUAGCUCAGGGGAUAGAGCGCUACCCUCCGGAGGUAGAGGCGGCAGUUCGAUUCUGCCUGGGGGCA